GACUCUCGACAACAGAUAUCUCGGCUCUCAUAUCGAUGAAGAACGUAGUGAAAUGCGAUACUUGGUGUGAAUUGCAUAAUCCUGUGAACUAUCGAGUCUUUGAUCGCAAGUUCCACCCGAAGCCAUUAGGUUGAGGGCACAUCUGCCUGGGUGUCU